GACGAACGCUGGCGGCGUGCUUAACACAUGCAAGUCGAACGGUGAAAGCGGAGCUUGCUCCGCUGGAUCAGUGGCGAACGGGUGAGUAACACGUGGGCAACCUGCCCCAGACUUCGGAAUAACUCCUCGAAAGAGGUGCUAAUACCGGAUACGAAGCCCCCAGGCAUCUGGGGGCUUGGAAAGUUUUUCGGUCUGGGAUGGGCCCGCGGCCUAUCAGCUUGUUGGUGAGGUAACGGCUCACCAAGGCGACGACGGGUAGCCGGCCUGAGAGGGUGACCGGCCACACUGGGACUGAGACACGGCCCAGACUCCUACGGGAGGCAGCAGUGGGGAAUAUUGCACAAUGGGCGCAAGCCUGAUGCAGCAACGCCGCGUGAGGGAUGACGGCCUUCGGGUUGUAAACCUCUUUUAGUAGGGAAGAAGCGAAAGUGACGGUACCUGCAGAAAAAGCACCGGCUAACUACGUGCCAGCAGCCGCCGUAACAC
rnacentral:rRNA from 1 species